rnacentral:rRNA from 1 species
UACAGAGGGUGCAAGCGUUGUCCGGAAUUAUUGGGCGUAAAGAGCUCGUAGGCGGUCUGUCGCGUCUGCUGUGAAAACUCGGGGCUUAACCCCGGGCCUGCAGUGGGUACGGGCAGACUAGAGUGCGGUAGGGGAGACUGGAAUUCCUGGUGUAGCGGUGAAAUGCGCAGAUAUCAGGAGGAACACCGGUGGCGAAGGCGGGUCUCUGGGCCGUAACUGACGCUGAGGAGCGAAAGCAUGGGGAGCGAACAGG